GGGGAAUUUUCCGCAAUGGGCGCAAGCCUGACGGAGCAAUACCGCGUGAGGGAGGAAGGCUUUUGGGUCGUAAACCUCUUUUAUUGGGGAAGAAAAUUUGACGGUACCCAAUGAAUCAGCAUCGGCUAACUCCGUGCCAGCAGCCGCGGUAAUACGGAGGAUGCAAGCGUUAUCCGGAAUUAUUGGGCGUAAAGCGUCCGCAGGUGGUUUUACAAGUCUGCAGUUAAAGCGUCCAGCUUAACUGGAUACAGGCAGUGGAAACUGUGAGACUAGAGUUUGGUAGGGGUCACGGGAAUUCCCAGUGUAGCGGUGAAAUGCGUAGAUAUUGGGAAGAACACCAGCGGCGAAAGCGCGUGACUGGGCCUGAACUGACACUCAUGGACGAAAGCUAGGGGAGCGAAAGGGAUUAGAUACCCCUGUAGUCCUAGCUGUAAACGAUGACAACUAGGUGUUGCACGUAUCGACCCGUGCAGUGCCGUAGCUAACGCGUUAAGUUGUCCGCCUGGGGAGUACGCACGCAAGUGUGAAACUCAAAGGAAUUGACGGGGGCCCGCACAAGCGGUGGAGUAUGUGGUUUAAUUCGAUGCAACGCGAAGAACCUUACCAGGGCUUGACAUGUCGCGAAUCUUGAUGAAAGUCGAGAGUGCCUUCGGGAGCGCGAACACAGGUGGUGCAUGGCUGUCGUCAGCUCGUGUCGUGAGAUGUUGGGUUAAGUCCCGCAACGAGCGCAACCCUCGUCGUUAGUUGCCAGCAUUGAGUUGGGCACUUUAGCGAGACUGCCGGUGACAAACCGGAGGAAGGUGGGGAUGACGUCAAGUCAGCAUGCCCCUUACGUCCUGGGCUACACACGUACUACAAUGCUGUGGACAAAGAGUCGCAAGCCAGCGAUGGCAAGCCAAUCUCGUAAACCACGGCUCAGUUCAGAUUGCAGGCUGCAACUCGCCUGCAUGAAGGCGGAAUCGCUAGUAAUCGCAGGUCAGCAUACUGCGGUGAAUACGUUCCCGGGCCUUGUACACACCGCCCGUCACACCAUGGGAGUUGGCCACGCCCGAAGUCGUUACUCCAACCGUUCGCGGAGGGGGAUGCCGAAGGCAGGGCUGAUGACUGGGG
rnacentral:rRNA from 1 species